CCUACGGGGGGCUGCAGUGGGGAAUAUUGGACAAUGGGGGGAACCCUGAUCCAGCCAUGCCGCGUGUGUGAAGAAGGCCCUCGGGUUGUAAAGCACUUUCAGUGAGGAAGAACGCCUGGUGGUUAAUACCCAUCAGGAAAGACAUCACUCACAGAAGAAGCACCGGCUAACUCCGUGCCUGCAGCCGCGGUAAUACGGAGGGUGCGAGCGUUAAUCGGAAUUACUGGGCGUAAAGCGCGCGUAGGUGGCUUGAUAAGCCGGUUGUGAAAGCCCCGGGCUCAACCUGGGAACGGCAUCCGGAACUGUCAAGCUAGAGUGCAGGAGAGGAAGGUAGAAUUCCCGGUGUAGCGGUGAAAUGCGUAGGGAUCGGGAGGAAUACCAGUGGCGAAGGCGGCCUUCUGGACUGACACUGACACUGAGGUGCGAAAGCGUGGGUAGCAAACAGGAUUAGAUACCCUGGUAGUC
rnacentral:rRNA from 1 species